GACGAACGCUGGCGGCGUGCUUAACACAUGCAAGUCGAACGGAAAGGCCCUGCUUGCAGGGUGCUCGAGUGGCGAACGGGUGAGUAACACGUGGGUGAUCUGCCCCUUACUUUGGGAUAAGCCUGGGAAACUGGGUCUAAUACUGGAUAGGACCAUGCUGUAGGUGGUGUGGUGGAAAGAUUAGUUUCGGUAAGGGAUGAGCUCGCGGCCUAUCAGCUUGUUGGUGGGGUAAUGGCCUACCAAGGCGUCGACGGGUAGCCGGCCUGAGAGGGUGGACGGCCACAUUGGGACUGAGAUACGGCCCAGACUCCUACGGGAGGCAGCAGUGGGGAAUAUUGCACAAUGGGCGCAAGCCUGAUGCAGCGACGCCGCAUGGGGGAUGACGGCCUUCGGGUUGUAAACUCCUUUCAGCCAUGACGAAGCCCUUGUGGUGACGGUAGUGGUAGAAGAAGCACCGGCUAACUACGUG
rnacentral:rRNA from 1 species